GCUUGCUUAGUAUUUUUAAACAUAUUGAAUUAGUGGCCAGCAUUUAAAUAUAGUGAGCCCUCAUACAAAAGACCACAUUUCUGGCUACUCUUGUAAUUCAGUCAGAAGAUCUAGAACACUGGACCAGCCUUAGAAGAGGAAGAAUAAUCUUACUGCAUUUAAAUCUUUUACAUUUGAUUUAUUUAUACAAAAGGGAUUUUUCUUUUCUUUUUUUUGGGGGGGUGGGGGGUGAAUUUCCACUGUCCCCUUCAAUAUUGGGCCCACCAUUUGAAAAUGAUGUUAAGACUGAGACGUAAUCUUCUGACCUCAAGAAAAAAAAAAUGUUGGACGAGGUUGGCAAACGGUAUUACUGUGAAUCUGCUGCUUGCUACCAGUGAAAGAGGAGUUGGCUGGGCUUGCCUUCCAAGGUGGAGAAGGUAUUCAGUUUUCUUCUAGCAAAUC
rnacentral:lncRNA from 1 species